GAAGGGAAAGCAAGGGAGCUGAGGGUGCUGCAGGAGGAUGUUGGGGGCCGUGCAUGGCAGGACAGCUGGAAGGAGCAGAAAUGACAGGCACUGGAGCAGACAGCUGAGAAUAAAGAGUGGGAGCCAGAGAGGGGACAGCUCUUUGAGCACCAGGGAAGUAUCUGGGCUGUGUCGACCCAGGUCCCUGUUUGCCACAUGAAACCCUGGGAGAGACACCCGAAGACUCGCCGGAGAGCUGUCUCACAGAGAGCUGGGGCAACUUCUCCAGGGAAAGGAGACCACGAAGAGCUCGGUGCCUGGGGCCUCUGCUUUCCUUCCACCACACCCAUGGGCUCUGCUGCCCACAUAGGGACAGCCCAGCUCCUCGCCUCCACUCCUUCCUUCGGCCUGGUCUGCCCUCCUCUGGAAGAUCAAGACGCAAGAAGACAGGUAGUGCCACCCCACAGCAGGGGAACCGGAGGGAGGCUCGCCAGGUAAACCAAGAGGGAAGAAGAGGCUCCAGCCGCCCCGCUCUGGGUGGGCCCUGCAGCAUCCAUACCUGCGUCCA